GGAGGAGCCUGAGAGAAAGGCUCAUGGAGGGCAGAGGGUGGAGGGCGUGGGACCAAGUUCCUUAGAUAAGGCUGUGGCCCCAUGUGAUUCAUCCAGGUGGCGCUAGGAGGGAUCUUCGCCGCAGAGGGCAUUCGAGAGAUGACAACUCUAGACAUCCAUGCAACUUCUGUUCUUGUGCUCCUGCUGUUUUCAAAUUCCACAGUCACAGACUGCACCCUGGAAAACUCAGGACACCCUAGAGUGAACUGCUCUGAAGAACAAAGUUGCUACUUGCUUGCUACCUCUGGUUGCUACCCCUGGUUGUGUUUGGUUGCCACAUAAUGAAAUGAUUUUCCUUCCCUCUUUUAUUUCCUUUCUUUCUUUUUUUUCUGCUACAAAUGGAAAAAUAGUUUGAUCACCUUGAAUCUUUUCACCCUUGGUAUUCUCCCCCUUCACACCCGAGCACCGCCCCUUGAUAAAUGAGAACACGUGUACUGAAAUCGCAGACUUCACCCUCCAGACUCAUCGUCCUCAUGCUCUCAGGGGGGACAUGUUUCCUUUCAAACCUCC
rnacentral:lncRNA from 1 species